rnacentral:misc_RNA from 1 species
UACUUACAAAGUUCCACUCACAGAGACAUUGCUGUCAAAUAAGAAUCAAAGUUGUGUUUCCAUUAUCUGACUUGUAAUUUAAAGUAACACUCACUUGCAUAUUGAUGUUUUACAGUCACAUGAUGACUGCCAUAAUCUUUCAGCAGUCUUUCAAAAUUUAACAAAAAAGUAAACCAUAUCCGGAAACUCAAAUCUAUCACAAAAACGCCAAGCCUGUUUAGUAAUAAUCAAGCAAAACAAGUAAGCAAAGGGUUUUCUACCAUAACUGAUUCACAACAACCAGAGGAACGCCUCCGUGAACCUAAAGGUGCCACCUAUUCAUGUCUAUAACAACUUUUUGUCUUUCAGUGGACCUCUUGGAAUUUUGCUUAGAACCUUGACGUUGAAAACAGCAUACUGCUUUUUGAUCUCUGCCUCAGCCUUCUCAGCAAAAGCAUCAACCUGGUCCUCAAAUUUCUCAUAAAGUACAGGGACGGUAUGGAGCAAUACAAAGCAUAUGUAAAACAGAGUGAGGAAGUUCCAGCAGUUGCCCAAUAUUGAAAGAACCCACAAACCAGCAAUAACACCGAGGAAUUUCUUCAACUCUUUCCCAGAGGCAAUAUCCCGAAAAACUUCAAGAGCUCUGUUUAUUUCAAUCCUGAGUGCAGCAGCAACACCCAGGACAAUAUCCUCAGGCAGAAUGACAUCUGGAAUUUGGGGUGGAGACUUGUUGAUGAAGGUAGAUGCAUUGGACCAAAGGAAAAGGACUGCCAAUGCAAGGAUCAGUAUAUGGCAAACAAGUGUAAGCAAAUGGUACUGAAGCAACUCAAAAAGCACCCAAAGUGAAGUGGCAAACCCAAGCACACCGGCAGUAAUUUUCUUGUCCCUCCACAGAAAAAUGUCCGCAGGUUUUCCACCGCCGAGAACCUUAUGGACGGGCCUUUCCCUGCCAAAGAGACGAUAGAUCUUUGCCUUGACGGCAUCGACCGACGAUAUUUUCUCCUUCUCAUCUUCAGAAUCGGAUGAGGAAGAAUUGUGGUCGUGCAACUUUUCGUUGAUCUUUUCCAUGACGGAUUCAACGACUGGUUCGUGCUCGCCGGCGUGAUCGGCCAUCGUUUACUCCGAUCUCACUAACGUGCGCCGCCGGCUAUUGGGGAUUUUUUUUGGUUGAUGGGUGCUUUUUUGAGUGACUAUUCUUACGCUUGCAAAAAGUGUGUGAAAGAGGGAAAAAUUGAAAGGCUUAAA